CUUGCGAUUAUUUUGCGAAUACUGUGAAUUGGAAUAAUCAUGGAAAAUUUACGCCAUUGGUGGCCGAACGUCUAUAACACCCUCCAAAGCGAAAUAAUCCGUCGCAAUGAGGCUGUUAAUGAACAGCGUUUGUUCGCUUCGAGCAUCAAAUAUUCAAGCGGGUCAGAAUUCUCUAGAAGCCUGAAUUCCCUCCAGAUAUCAAUCGGAAAAAUUAUGGAUCGAAAACGCUGUAAUUGGAGAUUUUGAAAAGUAGCAGAAGACUUGAGGCAACGGUUAGCCCGUAAUCUCGAUCAACGGACUCUCAAUCUUCCUUUGCCGAAGAACGCGCGCCGAGUGGUUGAAAUUAAAGCAUCGGAGUAAACGUAGAGUUCUUCGCUUUAAAUUAUGGAAGAGAGCUGUCUUCUUCUAUCUAAUUUACCCUCCGCCGCGAGUUAAGCUGACGCUUGAAAUUAAGCCAGCCCCUAUAAAUUCAUUGGACAGUAACUCCACUUACAGUUAACAGUAAUUCUUGGAUUUUCUACGGCGAGCCAGCAGACUCCAACAAUCUAGUUCGGUCAGUCUUCGAAACGGGUCAUUGUAUCUCUUCUUUGGGUGGAGAGUCUUGGUUUACUUUACCUCGUCGUUGUACGAAGAGAGAGUUCUUGUCUGAGAAAUCGACUUAUCAAAUUUGAUAUUAAAAUCAACUAACUCGGGGUUGAUCACCGAUAAGUUUCAACGGUAACUAAAAUACUCGGUAAUGGAAUUGAAGCUUUUGAAAACAGACAGGGAAUGUUUAUGUAAUUUCGUAUUUUUAUAAAAUUAAUUGAAA